GCAUGGUCUAGUUGGUUAGGACGUUCGCCUGUCACGCGAAAGAUCACGGGUUCGAAUCCCGUUGUGAC
rnacentral:tRNA from 2 species